rnacentral:lncRNA from 1 species
GGCCAGGCGCUACAUCCCACCGGACGGGCCCACACCUGAUUAGGGGCAGGAGGCCUCUCCAAGAACUGGGAUCUGGUGGACGGGAGAACUGGGGAGCAUCCUCCUGACCAUCCCACUCCUGCUCAGGCUCCAUCUUCUUGUCCCAAUGGGAGAAGUUUUUUUACAUUCUGGAGACCUUCAACCUUAUCCGACACCUCCUCCUCG